rnacentral:lncRNA from 1 species
GUUGAUCCACACAUGAAAAUAUAAACAUAAUCUAAGAAAGAAAAAUAUCCAAUAUGCUAUUACAUAUUAAUCAUAUAUGCUCAAGCAAAAUCAAUUAAUAAAACAGAACAAUUUUAUUACAAUAAUGCAAUACAACAAACCUUAAAAUCAACACAAAAUUAUUUAAGUAAUAAAAGAAAAGACAAUUUUUUUUUUAAAAAAAAUGAGGCUAGAGCUCAUGAUCAUAGAUUAUUAUUACAAAAUACUACAAAGAAAGACACAAAAUACAUAAGAGAAACUAAAUGCAAAGGAUCAAGGCAACAAUUUAAGGAGAAAGAAAGAAACAGCAAGACCCACAAGUCCCAUGAACUUGGAUGGGAAAGAAGUGAGAGAACUUGCAUUAGUGGCGGGAGAAGGAGCAGGAGUAGUAGGAGCAGGAGUAGAAGGAGUUGAAGGAGGAGGAGGAGGAAGAGUGGUGGGUGGAGAAGGAAGAGGAGUAGGUGAAGGUGCUGGUUGAAGCCCAGGAGUUUCAAUUUGGGCUUGAACAGCUACAGCCAAUAGAAGAGAGCAGGCAAAACUGAUGGCGAUAAUGGUCAAAAGAUUAUUGUGAAGAGCCAUUUUCUUGAUUAUCUCUUAUAAACACUCUUUAUAUGCUUUUCUUUUUUUUUUUUUGUGUUUUACAGUGAUUUCUUAUGUGUUCCUUUCUUUCCCUUUAUAUAGCUAAGCAGGGUUAGGAGGGUUAAGAAGGUGAAAUGAUGUGUGUAAACACUUAUUUUUUUUGGAAAUUCUUUGGGUGAUGAAACCUAUGAAUCUAAACUUGUCUUUUUGGAUAGUUGUUUAUGACAUAGUAGCAAGAAUAAAUAUUUUUAAAAGUUUGAAGUUGGAAUUGGGAAAAUGAAAUGAAAUGCGUAGCUAAUAAGGUCAUGGGUCUUUGCUGGCCAAACAUAAUAACUAUAUAUAUUUCUUGCUUAAUUUCUAAAAAUAUUCAUUGUUCACCAAUGUUUAUGGACUCUUGUCCUAUGUCAACGGCAUAUUUGACAAUUUCUUUUCAUGGGUAGUAAUUAAAAUUAUUUAAUUUUCAAGUCAAUUCCUCUAAAUUUUUUAUUACUUUCAAUUUGUUUUAUAUACCUUGAAAUUAAAUUUCGUUUAAUUGAUUAAACUAUCAAAAUGUAGAAGAUAAAAUAAAAGUCGAAUGGUCGCACAAUUUUUUUUUAAAAAAAAUUAACAUUUAAGAUUAAGUUUCUAUUCGAAUAUAUUAAUACUCAAAAAAAUUAUUUAAUGGAAAUUAUUUUUGUAAUUAAAAAAAUUAAUUUAUUUUAAGAAAAUCAAAUUAGUCUUUUAAAAAAAAGAAAGUUUUUUUUUUAAUUUUAAAAAUCUUAUUAACCCUCUAUUUAUAAAUUUAUUAAUAUAUUCUAUUUUUAAAUUUAAAUUAAACAAUGGAAAAUAAAUUAUGUUUUGAAAAAAUAUUGUUGAUGAAAAAUAUUUUAUUAAAAAAUAUUUUUCACUUUUUUUAACGUUUAGAACACUUAAAAAAUUAGUUAACAUAAAUUUUUUUUAAUUAAAGAAAAAUUAAAUUAUUUUAAGAAAAAUGGCUUGUAUUUUUUUUUAAAAAGUAAUUUUUAUAUUUUAAAAAUCUUAUUAAUACCUCUAUUUAUAAAUUUAUUAAUAUAUUUUAUUUUUAAAUUAAAAUUAAAUAAUAAAAAAUAAAUUAUUUUAUUAGAAAAUAUACUCCAUGGAAAAUAUAUGAUCAAAGAAAGAAAAAAGAAACAUUUUCUUGUUUUAUUAAAAAGAAAAAAAAAAAGUAACGUUACAAUGUUUGAAGGCAAAACUAGUGCUGAGAUAUGCACUAACAAGUCACAUGCCUCUUAUCACCACAGAGUUUUAUAAUUAUAUUUUAAUCCUUAAAAUUAUUACAUAUUACACAGCUAUUUUAUAGAGUAAAUUCAUAUUAUUACAUAAUAGUAAACUCAACACCCCUCCUCAAGUUGAAGCAGGUAGAGAGAGUAGAUUCAACUUGUUAGACAAAGAGCUAUGGUGAAAAACAAGCGAAGCUUUAGUAAAGAGAUCUACCAAUUGUUCUUGUAUAGGAUGAUGGCUAGGAAAAAUUAAUCCUUAUUGGAACUAAUCUCGCACAAUAUGGUAAUGGAUCUCGAUAUACUUGGUGCACUUAUAGAACACUGGGUUAGCAACAAUGUGAAGUACUACUUUGCUGUUAUAAUAAAGAGGGAUAGGCAAAGCAACUGAAACAUGCAAGUCUUUAAGAAUAUAGCUAAUCUAAAGAAGCUCACAAACAGUGUUAGCCAUGAUCCGAUAUUCUGUCUCAGUAGAUGAUUUAGAAACUGUAGUAUGUUUCUUUGUUUUUCAAGAUAUAAGGCGAGGCCCUAGAAAUAUGCAGUAACCAGAUAAGAACUUCUGAGAAUUUAAGCAAAAUACUCAAUCCAAAUCACAAUAAGCAAUGAGAGAUAAAACUUAGUGAUAGGAAAAUAUAAUCCUAGAUGUAAAGAGCCUUUAAGAUAUCUAAGUAGAUGUACAUCAGCCUUCCACUGAGGCUUUAAGCAUGCUCAUAAAUCAGUUGAGAUGCUGUACCGCAUAACAUAUAUCAGGCCUAGUUAAAUUUAUGUAAAGAAGCCUUCCAAGUAGCCUCCUGUUCAUAUCAGGUUCACUCAGAAGCUCUCCUAAAUCAGGAGUCAGAUGUAAACCCUGUGGUAAAGGAAAUGAUGUUCGCUUAUAAUGGAACAUGCCCGCAUCUUUGAGAACAUCUGAAAUGAACUUUGUUUGACUUAGAAUACUGCCCUGUGAGGAUCUAGCAACCUUAAGGCCUAAGAAAUAUUUUAGAGGCUCCAAAUCUUUGAUAGUGAAUUUAGAGUGUAAUGCAUGUUUGCAUUCAUUAAUUGCAUUAAUAGAGUUUCCACUAGGAUUACAUCAUUAACAUAUACCAAUAGAACUAGAAAUAAAGUACCAGUGUGUUGAAUAAAAAGGCAAUAAUCAUGAGAGGACUGUGUAAAGCCCAAAGUUUUAAGGAAGAUAGUAAACUCAAUAUUCCACUGGCUAGAUGCUUGUUCGAGCCCAUAUAGGGACCUUUGAAGUAAGCAAACUUCGCCAAGCUGGGCCUUGUGAUAACCCUAAAGAGGUAUCAUAUAUCUCUUCAUUUAAAUAUCUAUGUAAAAAGGCAUUAUUUAUGUCUAAGUGAAAGAUGGGUCAUUAUUUAGAAGUGGCUAAAGUAAUGAAGAUUCUCACUGUCGUAAGCUUAGCCACAGGAAAGAAUAUAUCUUUAUAGUCCAAACCUCUAUUUGAUUGAAACCUUUUGCAACUAAACAUGCUUUGUAUCUCUACCUCACUAGUGGGUUUAAAUUUCACAUACCCACUUGCAGCCUAUAGCCUUUUCAUUCUUCGGUAAAUCAAUAAGGGUCUAGGUAUUGUUAUUUUCCAAGGCUUGUAGCUCUUGUUCCAUGGCCUUAACCCAUUUAACAUCCUUGGAUGCUUGUGCAUAUGUGCAAGGCUCAUGAACUUUGUUCACAUGGCAAAUGUAAGAGUUGUAGGAUGGACAAAAGGAAAGAGAGGAUGUGGGCACAAGAUUAGCAUAGUCUUGCAUCCAAGUUGGAGGCUAUCUAUGUUUCUGAGAUCUUCUAGGGAAAGAACGCUCAUUGAAGCUGGGUACAGUAGGAUUAGAUGUGUGUAAUACAAAUUCAGUGAAUUCUAUAUCAGUAACAGGAAUGGAAAGGGUAAUAUGCUCAACAUCCUUCUUGCUUGAUUCACCUUUCUCCUUUCUAAAACUCUUCUUUGGGAUGAAUAUUUUAUUUUAAAAGAGCAACUUUCUUAUCCUUCUAGUCACCAAGGCUAAUUCUUCAUCAUUUAGCUCUUCUUCUUCCUCACUAGUGUCUUCAAAGGAUACCUUUAGAGCAAUGUUCUUUUUUAUUUUGCUAUAUUUCUCCACUUGCUCUCUCUCUAGAGUCAUCUCAUAAUCAAUGAGAUUCCUCAAAAGUUCAUCAAAUUGUACCUUAUCAAGUCCUUAGCACCCUUUAAAGAGACACAUUUGGCAGUCAUUCCUUAGCUAGACAUCUAAGAAUUUUCUUCAUCAAUUUCUCAUUUGUGAAUGUCUUCCCAAGAGAUUUCAUUCUUCCAAUGAUCUCAAUGAACUUAUUACACAUUUAGCUAAUAGUUUCAUCGAAUUUUAUUUUGAAUAACUCAUAUUGGUAGAUGAGGGAUUCCAUCUUAUUUUCUUUGACUUGAUUGGUACCUUCAUGAGUGACAACUAAAGUAUCCCAAAUCUCCUUGGCUAUAGACUUUAUACGUACUUUGUUGUACUCACUUCUACUAAGAGCACAAAAAAAAUGUGAAUGAUUUUGUUAUUAAGGGCUACCAUUCUCUUCUCUAAUUCACUCCAUUUACUCUUAGGUUUUUGCUCUUGCUUUCUCUUUAUCACUUUUAUUGAAAAGAAAUGACUAUUUUCUACAAUAUCCCUUAAAUCAACUCCUUUCGAUUUGAAUAAAUAGUAUAUUCUAUUUUUCUAAUAUAUAAAGUCAUUCUUAUCAAAGAAGAGUGUUCUCACAACCGAUUGACCUUCUUGAGUAUUGAGUGUUGCCAUUUGAUCUUUACUCUAAGAUGAUUAAAUCUUCAAGAAAAGAUGAUUAAAUCUUCAAGAAAAGAAGACUAGCUAUGAUACUACUUGUUGUUCCUUGAAGCAAACCAAGAGGGGGUGAAUUGGGUUUAUAAAAAAUUGAAGGCUAAAAAUACAAAUUAAAAAGGAAUAAGGAAGGAAGAGUGAUAAUAAAUACAAAGAUUUAUAGAGGUUCAACUAUCCCAAACCUACUUCCUCCCUUCGAGACCCUCCUUCAGAGUUCAACUCUACUUUCAAAUCUUAUUUGGGUGAAGAUUAAAACUCCUUAUAAUUCUACAGCAAAACCCUUGCUCUUUACCAUUCUCUUUUUCUCACAAGAAUAAUCCUCUACUCAAAAUCACACCCACUAUAAUUAAUUCACUCAACAACUUUCACUUAAUUUCAAAACACAAACCAAUUACAACUCAAAGCAAACUUUCAAGAAAUUAAUAUUAUGAUUCAAGGUUUAGAGAGAGAAAAAGUGUGAAAAUCUUGAAUCUCAAUUAAUGUGUGCUUAGAUAGUUGUUAUAAUUUUUUUCAGAUAAAAAACACAUUAUAUUUAUAGUUAUAACAUAAAUAUAGUCAUUGAAGAUGCAUUAGAUGCAAAUAUAGCAAUUUGUGUAUUGAAAUAGAUGUUAUUUUGUGCUAAAAAAAAAUUCAAGUUCGGCGGCCGAACCUUUGGAAGUGAAAACACAACUUCUUGAAUAUAGUUUUUCGGCGGUUAAGUCCCAAUAUUCGACGACUGAAUAUUUGAGAGUUUUUCCUCUUUUUCUCUACUUUUGGAAGUCUAACAUUGAUUUUAGAGAUACAAAAAUAUUUUAUUAAAUUUUUGAAAAUUUAUAAUUUAGACUAUAAAAUUUCAAAUUUUCAAUCCGUUUGAAUAUUUGUAACCUAUAUUUUAAGAUCUUUUAGUUUGAUAAAAAAUAAUUUCAAAGCACUCUAUUUGAAAAUUUUCAUUUUGCUCCCUCAAAGAGUUAUUGAGCAAAAACUUAAGUUACAAACUUUCAAUUUUUAUGAUAUUUGAAUUUUUGUAACUUAUCAUUUGAAAUCUCUUAUUUGAUAGAAAAAUAUAUUCACAAAGGCUUCAUACGUCAAAUUUUAUUUUGGUCUUCAAAAAUAAUUACUUAAAAAUUGACCAUAUUUAGAAGUUUUAGAAUUAAAAAAAAAAAAGAAUUUGAGCCAACACACAUAAUUAAUUGAAAUUCACAAUGUAUAAACUAAAAAUUAUAUUUUUGUCCCUUUCUUGUAGUAUGCUUCCAAUCUUGGCACUUUUCAUUCUUGAAAAUAAAGCAAUUCUAUUUAUUUAAAUUAGGGACCUACAAGUUCACACAAAUACUUCUAAAGAUAAUUAGUAGCACACCAAUUGUUUAUUAGUCAUCAAAAUAAGGAUUAGAACACUUAGAUCCAACAGUUCUUAAUGGUAGUAUUAAAUUGAGUUUCUACCAUAUUGAUGAAAUACUUGAUCAGAUUGAAAGUUUGACCUUUAAGGUGCAUCAUGAAUGUCCAUACUGCUAUGGUAUUAUCCAAAAUGGUAAGAAAAUAUCUAAUACUAGUGAUAGAGGUAGUUUUGUAAGGUCCCCAUAUGUUUAUAUUGAUUAGGUCAAAAGGCUACGAAGCAAUAGUGUGACUUUUGGGAAAGAGCAAUCUGGACUGUUUGGCCAAGGGAUAAAUAGGGCAACAUAUUAUAGUAUUAUCACUAAUGGUAAUACCCUUAAUAUGUUUGAGUUUGCCAAUAGAUGCAUUACCUAAUCUAUCAUGAAAGUCAAUAAUAGACAUAGAACAUCCAGAUAUUUAUCCAGAGGAUAUGAAACUUUUUUUAUUAGAAUUAGUUACAAGAAGCAUGGUAUUUAAAAGAGUAUGUAAAACAAAAGUAGUAUUCAUGAUCUGAUGCAAACAUUAACUAAUCUCAGUAUGAGGAAAACUCGUUUGAUUGAGCUUGAACAAGCCUCCGUAUUUCUUUCCUACAACCAUCACCCUUUUAUUCAGAGGGUUCUGUAUAAUGCAGUAUUGCUAGCAAUUCACAACACAACAAGCACAACUAUUCACUAACUGCCUAACAGAUAUGAGGUUGUAAUGAAAUUGUGGAACAUACAACACAUUAUCAAGCAUAAUAUGUCAAAUAGAUUAAGGUUGCCAGAAUGUGAUAUUUGUGUUGUAGUCCCAUCAGGAAAGAAAACAGAGACAUGUUUGUAUAAAGGUUGUAAAGAAAGAAACAAGAUUUUGUCUAAACACAUAUGAUUAGUGGCUCUAGUGUUUAAAAUCUAGCUAGUGUCAUUAUAUAGUUUUGCAUAAGAAAUUUUGAUAAAAUUAGAUUUACUAGCAAAAUCCAUGAAAUGAGAAUUUAGUCCAAUUGAAGUGCUUGGAGUGAAAACAUUUUUGUAGCAAUUACAAGCAAAAUAAUUUAGUUCUUGAAUUUUUAUUUCAUCAAUAAAAUAAUUUUUCUAUUAAAUUUACCAUUUGUCAACUAUUAAUUAAAGAAGUCAACUCAAAUUAAAAUGACUAAAUUGUUAUAAUAGUUGUUAUAAAUUAUUAAAAUUAAAAGGAUUAAAUUGUUAUAUUUUAAUAAUAAAUUUAACAAAAAAUUAUUUUGUUAACAAAAUGAAAUCUUAAGGACUAAAUUAUAGAUUUUAUUAAACUUUAGAAACUAUUCUAUAAAUUACCUUUUUAUAUAAAAAAAUUGGCAAAAACAAAAACCUGCACUUGAAUUAUAUAAUAUGACUAAAAAAAUACCAUAUUUUAAUAAAUAUAUUUUAUCCAAAUAUAUCUAUAAUUAUUAUUAAAAGUAUAAAUAAAUCAAAUUAAAGACAAAUAGACUAAGUAAAUUGCAGCUCUCGCUCAAAAAUUUUAAUAAAUGGUAAUUUUAUUUAAUUUUUAAUAAAAAAUAGAUAUAGAUUUAAAUAGAAUGAUGAAAUUUAAUAUUUUUAAUAACAUAGGUAUAAUUUAUGGACAAAUUUAAUUUUUUUGCAAAAUAACUUAGAUUUUUUUGCUUAUCCACGUAUAAAAGGGUAAUAUGGCUUUUUGUUUUCUUUUCCCUUGUUGGCAAUAAUGAUUAUUUUUUAGUAUACAUAAUCGUAAAUUCCCUUGAAAUUUUUUUGUUGUCAAGAUUAGAUCUAAUAAAUUGAAUCCACAAAGUUAUAACUUUAUAAGUUUGAAUUAGAGACAUACGCUGAAAUAAGGUAUAUAUAUAUAUAUAAAUGCAAAAUAAAUUUAAAAAUCUACAAGGUGAUCCACACAUGAAAAUAUAAACAUAAUCUAAGAAAGAAAAAUAUUCAAUAUGCUAUUACAUAUUAAUCAUAUAUGCUCAAGCAAAGACAAUUAAUAAAACAAAAUAAUUUUAUUACAAUAAUGCAAUACAACAAACAUUAAAAUCAACACAAAAUUAUUUAAGUAACAAAAGAAAAGACAAUUUUUUUUAAAAGAAAUGAGGUUAGAGCUCAUGAUCAUGGAUCAUUAUUACAAAAUACUACAAAGAAAGACACAAAACACAUUGAUCAUUAUUCCAAAAUACUACAAAGAAAGACACAAAACACAGAAGAGAAACUAAAUGCAAAGGAUCAAGGCAACAAUUUAAGGAGAAAGAAAGAAACAACAAGACCCACAAGUCCCAUGAACUUGGAUGGGAAAGAAGUGAGAGAACUUGCAUUAGUGGCCGGAGAAGGAGUAGGAGUAGGAGUAGUAGGAGUAGAAGGAGGCGGAGGAGGCGGAGGAAGAGUGGUGGGUGGAGAAGGAACAGGAGUAGGUGAAGGUGCUGGUUGAAGCCCAGGAGUUCCCACUUGCGCUUGAACAGCUACAGCCAACAGAAGAGAGCAGGCAAAACUGAUGGCGAUAAUGGUCAAAAGAGUCUUGUGAAGAGCCAUUUUCUUGAUUAUCUCUUAUAAACACUCUUUAUAUGCUUUUCUUAAUUUUUUUUGUGUUUUACAGUGAUUUCUUAUGUGUUCCUUUCUUUCCCUUUAUAUAGGUAAGCAGGGUUAGGAGGGUUAAGAAGGUGAAAUGAUGUGUGUAAACACUUAUUUUUCUUGAAAAUUCUUUGGGUGAUGAAACCUAUGAAUCUAAACUUGUCUUUUUGGAUAGUUGUUUAUGACAUAGUAGCAAGAAUAAAUAUUUUUAAAAGUUUGAAGUUGGAAUUGGGAAAAUGAAAUGAAAUGCGUAGCUAAUAAGGUCAUGGGUCUUUGCUGGCCAAACAUAAUAACUAUAUAUAUUUCUUGCUUAAUUUCUAAAAAUAUUCAUUUUUCACCAAUGUUUAUGGACUCUUGUCCUAUGUCAACGGCAUAUUUGACAAUUUCUUUUCAUGGGUAGUAAUUAACAUUAUUUAAUUUUCAAGUCAAUUCCUCUAAAUUUUUUAUUACUUUCAAUUUAUUUUAUAUACGUUGGAAUUAAAUUUCAUUUAAUUGAUUAAAUUAUCAAAAUGUAGAAGAUAAAAUUAAUAUUUAAGAUUAAGUUUCUGUUUGAAUAUAUUAAUACUCAAAAAAAUUAUUUAACGGAAAUUAUUUUUGUAAUUAAAAAAUUAAUUUAUUUUAAGAAAAUCAAAUUAGUCUUUUAAAAAAAAGAAAGUCUUUUUUUUUUUUAAUUUUAAAAAUCUUACUAACCCUCUAUUUAUAAAUUUGUUAAUAUAUUCUAUUUUUAAAUUUAAAUUAAACAAUGGAAAAUAAAUUAUGUUUUGAAAAAUAUUGUUGAUGAAAAAUAUUUUAUUAAAAAAUAUUUUUCACUUUUUUUAACGUUUAGAACACUUAAAAAAUUAGUUAACAUAAAAUAUUUUUUUAAUUAAAGAAAAAUUAAAUUAUUUUAAGAAAAAUGACCUGUAUUUUUUUUAAAAAAGUAAUUUUUAUAUUUUAAAAAUCUUAUUAAUACCUCUAUUUAUAAAUUUUAUUAAUAUAUUUUAUUUUUAAAUUAAAAUUAAAUAAUAAAAAAUAAAUUAUUUUAUUAGAAAAUAUUCUCCAUGGAAAAUAUAUGAUCAAAGAAAGAAAAAGAAACAUUUUCUUGUUUUAUUAAAAAGAAAAAAAAAGUAACGUUACAAUGUUUGAAGGCAAAACUAGUGCUGAGAUAUGCACUAACAAGUCACAUGCCUCUUAUCACCACAGAGUUUUGUAAUUAUAUUUUAAUUCUUAAAAUUAUUACAUAUUACACAGCUAUUUUAUAGAAUAAACUCAUAUUAUUACAUAAUAGUAAACUCAACACCCUUCCUCAAGUUGAAGCAGGUAGAUAGAGUAGAUUCAACUUGUUAGACAAAGAGCUAUGAUGAAAAACAAGCAAAACUUUAGUAAAGAGAUCUGUCAAUUGUUCCUGCAUAGGAUGAUGGCUAGGAAAAAUUAAUCUUUAUUGGAACUAAUCUCGCACAAUAUGGUAAUGGAUCUCGAUAUACUUGGUGCAUUUAUAAAACACUGGGUUAGCAACAAUGUGAAAUACUACUUUGCUGUUAUAAUAAAGAGGGAUAGGCAGAGCAACUGAAACAUACAAGUCUUUAAGAAUAUAGCUAAUCCAAAGAAGCUCACAAACAGUGUUAGCCAUGACCCAAUAUUCUGUCUCAGUAGAUGAUUUAGAAACUGCAGUAUGUUUCUUUGUUUUUCAAGAUAUAAGACGAGGCCCCAGAAAUAUGCAGUAACCAGAUAAGAACUUCUGAGAAUUUAAGCAAAAUACUCAAUCCGAAUCACAAUAAGCAAUGAGAGAUAAAACAUUAGUGAUAGGAAAAUAUAAUCCCAGAUGUAAAGAGCCUUUAAGAUAUCUAAGUAGAUGUACAUCAGCCUCCCACUGAGGCUUUAAGCAUGCUUAUAAAUUGGCUGAGAUGUUGUAUCGUAUAACAUAUAUCAGGCCUAGUUACAUUUAUGUAAAGAAGCCUUCCAAGUAGCCUCCUGUUCAUAUCAGGUUCACUCAGAAGCUCUCUUGAAUCAGGUGUAACGACCCGGAAACCGGACCGCUACCGGCGCUAGGAUCCAGAUCGGCUUAAGGCCGCUGGGACCCAUAGCAAGCCUAACAUACAUCCUGUAUACCUGUUAAAUCCCAUACAUGAUCAAACAUAUACAUAAAACUUUAAACUUUCUCUUUCAUUAACCAAGCUCAACCUGCGCAUGCACAACUCAUAACUAUAAAACCCCACACUGGAGCCCUCAUCAAAUGUUCCAAUGGGGUAACAUAUCAUACAUAAACUUGGUUUACAUAAAACAUCAAUAAAACAUUUUACAGAUCAUGUGCAAAAGGAACUAACCAAUAUACUAGGGUCAAGCACAACUCUAAACCUCAAUAAUCAUCAUUACAUUACAUUACUGUACCAUACUUUACAUUACAUUAUAUUCAUGUCCACAUCUAACUAUUACAUAAGACAUUACUUUACUCUUGCUGACUUCCUGAUCUAGCCCGUACCUGCAAACCUGGGGGAUUAAGGGAAUGGGGUGAGCUACUAGAGCCCAGUGAGCAGAAUAAUAAAACAUUAUAUUUAAAGUUCAUGCUCAUGAAAUGCAUCACAUCACAGACAAAUCACCUUAAGGAUGAACUUGUCACCAAUAGCCCUCUACAUUUCCAUUAGUGCCAGAACGUAGAAUGGGUCCUGGUCUUUCUCUUACAUAACAUAUCAUAACAUUUCAAAGUGCCAGGGACGUAGAAUGGGUCUUCUUGGACUUUCUUUUACAUAGUACCAGGGAUUUAGAAUGGGUCUUCCUGGACUUCCAUACCGUGUCAUCAUCAUAUCAUAUCAUACCAUACAAGGGCUAAUGGAUCACUCAAUGUUCAUCCACAUCAACAACAUAAUAUGCAAUGCAACAUAUUCGUGAAUUCUAAUGCAACAACCUAAUAUAUCUCAUGGCAUUCAUGAUGCGUGAAUCAUGCUAAAACUUUCAUUAUUUGCUUUGAAACAUAAAGAGUCAUUCUACUCACCUCAGGCUAGCUCUGACAAGACACUGAAGCAGCUAUCUCACUGCUGGGGUCCUCGGUUUCUCGGGUCUAAACCUACACAGGUGGACUUAGAUGAGGGACCAAACAUACAUGAACAUAACUCUAAACUACUCCCAAAAAACCCCAUAAAACACCUUAAAAUAAUCAUAGAAAAACAUACAAAAGAAGGCUGAACAGGACACCUUUAGCGGCAGGUUCGGGGGCCGAAAGUCCCUCCAAAGCUGAAACUCAGUCACUUUCGGCGGCACCUUCGGCGGCCGAAAGUCCCUUCUAGAGACGAAACUCAUGCAUGUUCGGCGGCCGAAACUCCCUUCUAGAGCCGAAAGUCCUGCUUUCGAGGGCAGGGUUCGUCAGCCAAAGGCUUGCCUCCACUGUAACGACCCAGAAACCGGACCGCUACCGGCGCUAGGAUCCAGAUCAGCUUAAGGCCGCCGGGACCCGUAGCAAGCCAAACAUUCAUCCUGAAUACCUGUUUAAUCCCAUACAUGAUCAACAAUUACAUAAAAAUAUUAAAACUUUCUCAAUUAAUCAUUCAUUCAUUCUUUCUUUCAUUCUUUCAUUCAUUCUUUCACCAAGCUUAACCUGUGCAUGCACAAACCAUAACAUAAAACCUCUCACUGGAGUCCUCAUCAAAUACUCCAGUGGGGUAACAUAACAUACAUUAAGCUUGGAUUACAUAAUCGUCAUUAAACAUUUAAGAUCAUGUACUAAAAAGGGAUUGACAACAUACUAUGGUCAAGCACAAUUCUAUCCUCAAUAACAUCAUUACAUUACUGAACCAUACAUUACAUUUCAAUAUUUAUCAUGUCCACCACUAGCUAUUACAUGACCACAACUUUACUCUAGCUGACCUCCUGGUCUACCCUGUACCUGCAAAUCUGGGGGUUAAGGGAGAGGGGUGAGCUAUAAAGUCCAGUGAGCAGAAUAAAUAAACAUUCAAUUUAAAUUUCAUGCUUUCAUGAAGUGCAACACAUCACAAACAAAUCACAUCAAGGAUGGACUUGUCACCAAUAGUCCUCUACAUAGUCCAAUCAUGCCAGUGGCGUAGAAUGGGCCUCACUGGUCUUUCUCUUAACAUAAUAUAACAUAGCAUAACAUUCCAUAGUGCCAGGGGCGUAGAAUGGGCCUCACUGGUCUUUCUCUUAACAUAGUGCCAGGGGCGUAGAAUGGGCCUCACUGGUCUUUCUCUUAACAUAGUGCCAGGGGCGUAGAAUGGGCCUCACUGGUCUUCCAUACCGUAUCAUCAUCAUACCAUAACAUACGAGGAUUAAAGGAUCAUUCAACAUCCAUCCACAUCAUCAUCAAGUUAUGUAAUGCAACAUAUUCAUGAAUUAUAGUGCAAACAAUCCUAGUAUAUCUCAUGGCAUACGUGAUGCAUGUAUUAUGCUCAAAAUUUAUUUAUUUGCUUUAAAACGUAAUGAUUUAUUCCACUCACCUCUGGCUGAAGCAGCUAUCUCACUGCUGAGGUCCUCGGUUCCUCGGGUCUGAACCUACACAGGUGGACUCAAAUGAGGGACCAAACAUCUAUGAACAUGACUCUAAAAUACUCCCCAAAAACCCCCUAAAACACCUUAAAAUAAUCACAUAAAUCAUGCAAAAGAAGGCUGAACAGGGCACUUUCUGUAACGACCCGGAAACCGAUACCCCUCUGUAAUGGCCCGAACCGUCACCGGCGCUAGGAUCCAGAUCGGCUUAAGGCCGCCGGGACCCGUAGCAAGCCAAACAUACCUCCUAUCUCCUGGUCAAAUCCCAUACAUGAUCGAAACUUUAACAUAAAAAUUCAAACAUCUGAUGUACAAACCGAGCCUGACCUGUAUGCGACAUAACUGAAAACAUCAAGAACCCCCUACUAGAGCCCUCAUCAAAACUCUAGCUGGGUCAACACAACAUACAUCAAGCCGGAGUCACAUCCAAGGAACUAGAACCUAACCUGUGCAUGCAACAAAACCACAAACAUAAGACCUCUACAAGGGUCCUCAUCAAACACUAGUGUGGUAAACAACACAUGCCACAAGAUUAGUUCAAACAUAACUCAACAUCUAAAACAUUACAUACAUCAUGCAUUAAAAAGGGACUAACCAAGUCUUAGGGCCAAGCACAGUUCUAAUCCAUAAACAUAACUCUUACAAUACAUAACAUCUUAACAAAAAGAAUAUCGAAUCUUAAUACAUGUCCACACUAAAAGCUUACUAAUCUAUUACAUAACCAUAACCUUAACUCUUGAGACUUCCCGAUCUUCUUCAAACCUGCAACACUGGGGUUAGGGGAGAGGGGUGAGCUAAAAAGCUAGUGAGUAGAAACAAAGAAAACAGUUCAUUAAUUACAUACUUUCAUGAAAUGCGUCAUAGCACAAACAAAUCAUAUCACGGAUUGGACCCAACCCCAAAACAUCCCUUCCAGUCUCAGUAUGCCCGGCCCAGCCGGGUCUCACAACCUUCGUAUGCCUGGCCCGGCCAGGUCUUACAACAACUGAAAAUGUAUGCCUGGCCCGGCCAAGUCUCACAACAUGUCUAGGGCUAGUGGGGUCGUCCUUGGUCCAAUCUCCAACAACAGUAAAUAAUGCAAUGCUUCAUAUUCGUGUAACUAGUGCAAUCAACCUAUUACAUAUAAACAUGAUGCAUGAGCAUGCUUUAGGCAUUUGAUUUCAUAAAAUAAAGAUUUAAGUUUAGUUCUACUCACCUCUGGCAGACGCUGGACUAACUCUGCAACUGCUAACACUGAUGGCCUCCUCGAUCCCUCGGGUCCGAUCCUACACAGGUGGACUCGAAUGAGGUGCCAACACACUCUAAACAACUCAUAAACAACUCCCCAAAAACCCUCUAAAACAUCACUUAAUCAUGCAUAGAAAACAACCUUGAAAAGGCUGGACAGGGCACUUUUGGCGGCACCUUCGGCGGUCGAAUCCUCCUCCAGAGACGAAACUCGGGCACUUUCGGCGGCACCUUCGGCGGCCAAAAGUCCCUCUCCAGAGACGAAAGUCAGGCACUUUUGGCGGCCGAACCUUCCUUCGGCGGCCGAAAGUCUGCUUUCAAGCCAAAACUCAACUUUCGGGGGCAAGGUUAGACGGCCAAACCAUGCAUCCAAAGGCAGGUUCGGCGGCCGAAGCUACUUUCGGCGGCCGAACCUGAAUUCUUCCCAGAAGGGCAGAACUCAGCUUCACAUGCAUUCAAGCCUCCCAAACCUUCCAAACACCCCAAAACAAGCACCCAACUUUACCAAAACAUGCAUAAACCUAAAACCAUGCAUAAAGGAGCUUAACAACUAGAUUAAACUCCAAAAACAACAUCAAAACAUACCUAGAUAGUUUAUGACCCACAUAGGCCAAAACCAUCAAAACAACCCAAAUCCUCACAUACUCUCUCCCCAUCAUGCAUACUCACUCCCACAUGCAUAAAGGAGCAUAAACUAACAACAUAUCAUCACAUAAACACAUAUAAUCAUACAUUGGGCAUCAAACCCACAUAAACCUAAACAUGCAUAUCUACCCAUUAAAACUCCAUUAAAACACAAGGAAAGCAAGGAUCUACACUUACCUCUUGAAGAUCGAGGGUUUGUGCGAGCUCUAACUUGGAGAUGGGAGAAACCAACUCCUUGGGUCUCCAAGCUUCCAAAACUUGAUCUAAGCUUGAAAACUCUUCAAAACAGCCAUGAAACUCAUGAAAACAUGAAGGAGAUGAAGAAAAACAUGAAAACGGCCAAAGGAGUGUAUAAACUCACCUGAGCUCGAGAAUGGGGAGAAAACUCGCCCAUUUUCGAUCUGAGGGCCCUUUAUAGGUGGCCUGGUCAGAGACCUUCGGCAGCCUAAUGUGCCCCCUAAACUCAUGCAUGUUCGGCGGCCGAACCUUGGCUCGUUCAAACAAGACUUUCGGAGGCCAAAGGCGCUCCCGAAGCAUUCCCAUGUUCGGCGGCCGAACUUCACUUUCGGCGGCCGAACCUGACAAAUGCCUCCUUGGUCUUUUCUUUUCAAAACUCAAUUCAUUUUCAUUUAAAACCAUGAAAUCAUGUGAAAACAUUUUAGAAAACACAUUUUACCCCUCUAGAAGCCUUUGGCAUCUUCAGAAUUCCAGAUUCCAACGAAGAUUCCGCCGGAAGGUAGGGAUUCCGAUGCCGGAAUCUAGCCGGGUAUUACACUUUCGGCGGCAGGUUCGGCGGCCGAAAGGCCCUCUAGAGACGAAAGUCAUGCACCUUCGGCGGCACUUUCGGUGGCCAAAGGUUCCUUCCAGAGACGAAACUCAUGCAUGUUCGGCGGCACCUUCGGCGGCCGAAACUCCCUUCCAGAGCAGAAAGUCCUCUUUCGGGGGCAGGGUUCGGCAGCCGAUACAUGCUACCACAGGCAGGUUCGGCGGCCGAAAGAGCCUUCGGCUGCCGAACCUGAGUUCUCCCAAAGGGCAAAAACUCAGCUCCAACAUGCACAAAAGCCUCCCAACUCAUUCAACAUGCAUUUACCUAUUCUACAACAAGCAAACUCAAGCCAACAAGCACAUAGGGGUCUCAAACUAACUUAAACCCCCAACCAAAACACAUCAAACAUGCAUAUUCAACAUACAUUGUUCAUAAACACAUAUUUAACCAAAAACUCAUCAUAAACCUACACAUGCAUUUCUACCCCAAGAAACUUCAUAAAACUUGCUUAAAACAUGAAAUGAACUAUGGAUCUACUCUUACCUCUUGAAGAACGAGAGGAGAGACGAUCCUAGCUCGGAGAUGGGAGAGAUCUCAUCUCUUUAGUCUCCAAGCUUCAAAACUUGCUCUUUUUGUUCAAAUAUCUUCAAAUCAACAUAAAGUUUGUUAAAACAUGAAAGAUCGGAGGAAAAACAUCAAAGAUCAACCAUGGGAGAGCAGGAACUCAUCGUGGCUGAAAAUGGGGAGAAAACUCGCCUGUUUCGGCCAUGGAGCCCUUUUAUAGGGGCUGCCAGACCACCUUUCGGCAGCCUAAAGUGCCUCCAAAACUCAUGCAAGUUCGGCGGCCGAACAUGAGGUUCGGCGGCCGAACCUUUGAAACUUUCGGAAGCCUAACUUGCCCCCCUAAACUAUCCAAUGUUCGGCGGCCGAACUUGAGGUUCGGCGGCCGAACCUGGAAAUGCCUCCUUGGUCUUUUUCAUUCAAAACUCAAUUUCCUUUCUUUCUUAAAACCAUAAAAUACAUUAAAACAUUUUAUGAAAACAUGGUUUUACCCUUCUAGAGGUUUCCGACAUCCGAGAUUCCACCGGAUGGUAGGAAUUUCGAUACCGAAGUCUAGCAAGGUAUUACAUCCACAGGCAGGUUCGGCGGCUGAAAGUCCUUCGGCUGCAGAACUUGAGUUCUUCCAAAGGGCAGAACUCAGCCUCCACAUGCACAUUUUUCCUUCCAAACCAUUCAAACAUGCAUUUACCUAUUCUACAACAAGCAUACACAAGCAAAUAAGCAUUUAGGAGUCUCAAACUAUCCUAAACCCCAACACAAACACAUAAAGCAACUCAAACAACAUACAUUACCCAUAAACUCAACAUUUACCCUGACAACAAACAACUAACUUACACAUGUAUUUCUACCCCAUAACUUCAUAAAACUUGUUUAAAACAUACAAGAAAGGUAGGAUCUAGGCUUACCUCUUGAAGAUCGAGAGGAAGGACGAUCCUAACUUGGAGAUGGGAGAAAUCUAGCUCCUUGGACCUCCAAGCUCUAAAACUUGCUCUAAGCUUCAAAAAUCUUCAAAACCAAGUUAAAACUUGUUAAAACUCGAAAGAUUUAAGGAAGAACAUUAAAACCAACCAUGGGAGGGCAUGGACUCACCGUUGGCCGAAAAUAGGGGAGAAAGCUCGCCCAUUUUCAACUAUGGGUCCUUUUAUAGGUGGCAAGCUAGGCCACCUUCGGAAGUUGAAGGCGACUCCGAAACACAUGCAUGUUCGGCGGCCGAACAUGAGGUUCGGCGGCCGAACAUGAGGUUCGGCGGCCGAACAUGAGCCACAUUCGGAAUCCUAAUGUGCCUCCCUAAACUAUCCCACGUUCGGCGGCCGAACUUGAGGUUCGGCGGCUGAACCUGGAAAUGCCUCCAUGGUCUUUUUCAUUCAAAACUCAAUUUCUUUCUUACUUAAAACCAUAAAAUACAUAAAAACAUUUCAUGAAAAUACGAUUUUACCCUUCUAGAGAUUUUCGACAUUCGAGAUUCCACCGGACGGUAGGAAUUCCGAUACUGGAGUCUAGCCGGGUAUUACAUCAGGAGUCAGAUGUAAACCCUGUGGUAAAAGAGAUGAUGUUGGCUUAUAAUGGAACAUGCCCGCAUCUUUGAGAACAUCUGAAAUGAACUUUGUUUGACUUAGAAUACUGUCCUGUGAGGAUCUGGCAACCUUAAGGCCUAAGAAAUAUUUUAGAGGCCCCAAAUCUUUGAUAGUGAAUUUAGAGUGUAAUGCAUGUUUGCAUUCAUUAAUUGCAUUAAUAGAGUUUCCACUAGGAUUACAUCAUUAACAUAUACCAAUAGAGCUAGAAAUAAAGUACCAGUGUGUUGAAUAAAAAGACAAUAAUCAUGAGAGGACUGUGUAAAGCCCAAAGUUUUAAGGAAGAUAGUAAACUCAAUAUUCCACUGGCUAGAUGCUUGUUCGAGCCCAUAUAGGGACCUUUGAAGUAAACAAACUUCGCCAAGCUGGGCCUUGUGAUAACCCUAAAGAGGUAUCAUAUAUCUCUUCAUUUAAAUAUUUAUGUAAAAAGGCAUUAUUUAUGUCUAAGUGAAAGAUGGGUUAUUAUUUAGAAGUGGCUAAAGUAAUGAAGAUUCUCACUGUCAUAAGCUUAGCCACAGGAAAGAAUAUAUCUUUAUAGCCCAAACCUCUAUUUGAUUGAAACCUUUUGCAAUUAAAUAUGCUUUGUAUCUCUACCUCACUAGUGGGUUUAAAUUUCACAUACCCACUUGCAGCCUAUAGCCUUUUCGUUCUUCGGUAAAUCAAUAAGGGUCUAGGUAUUGUUAUUUUCCAAGGCUUGUAGCUCUUGUUCCAUGGCCUUAACCCAUUUAACAUCCUUGGAUGCUUGUGCAUAUGUGCAAGGCUCAUGAACUUUGUUCACAUUGCAAAUGUAAGAGUUGUAGGAUGGACAAAAGGAAAGAGAGGAUGUGGGCACAAGAUUAGCAUAGUCUUGCAUCCAAGUUGGAGGCUAUCUAUAUUUCUGAGAUCUUUUAGGGAAAAAAAGCUCAUUGAGGCUGGGUACAGUAGGAUUAGGUGUGUGUAAUACAAAUUCAGUGAAUUCUAUAUUAGUAACAGGAAUGGAAAGGGCAAUAUGCUCAACAUCCUUCUUGCUUGAUUCACCUUUCUCCUUUCUAAAACUCUUCUUUGGGAUGAACCUUUUAUUUUAAAAGAGCAACUUUCUUAUCAUUCUAGUCACCAAGGCUAAUUCUUCAUCAUUUAGCUCUUCUUCUUCCUCACUAGUGUCUUCAAAGGAUACCCUUAGAGCAAUGUUCUUUUUUAUUUUGCUAGAUUCCUCCACUUGCUCUCUCUCUAGAGUCAUCUCAUAAUCAAUGAGAUUCCCCAAAAGUUCAUCAAAUUGUACCUUAUCAAGUCCUUAGCAUCCUUUAAAGAGAUCACAUUUGGUAGCCAUUCCUUAGCUAGACAUCUAAGAAUUUUCUUCAUCAAUUUCUCAUUUGUGAAUGUCUUCCCAAGAGAUUUCAUUCUUCCAAUGAUCUCAAUGAACUUAUUACACAUUUAGCUAAUAGUUUCAUCGAAUUUUAUUUUGAAUAACUCAUAUUGGUAGAUGAAGGAUUCCAUCUUAUUUUCUUUGACUUGAUUGGUACCUUCAUGAGUGACAACUAAAGCAUCCCAAAUCUCCUUGGCUAUAGACUUUAUACGUACUUUGUUGUACUCACUUCUACUAAGAGCACAAAAAAAUGUGAAUGAUUUUGUCAUUAAGGGCUACCCUUCUCUUCUCUAAUUCACUCCAUUUACUCUUAGGUUUUUGUUCUUGCUUUCUCUUUAUCACUUUUAUUGAAAAGAAAUGACUAUUUUCUACAAUAUCCCGUAAAUCAACUCCUUUCGAUUUGAAUAAAUAGUAUAUUCUAUUUUUCUAAUAUAUAAAAUCAUUCCUAUCAAAGAAGAGUGUUCUCACAACCGAUUAACCUUCUUGAAUAUUGAGUGUUGCCAUUUGAUCUUUACUCUAAGAUGAUUAAAUCUUCAAGAAAAGAAGACUAGCUAUGAUACUACUUGUUGUUCCUUGAAGCAAACCAAGGAGGGGUGAAUUGGGUUUAUAAAAAAUUGAAGGCUAAAAAUACAAAUUAAAAAGGAAUAAGGAAGGAAGAGUGAUAAUAAACACAAAAAUUUAUAGAGGUUCAGCUAUCUCAAACCUACUUCCUCUCCUCAAGACCCUCCUUCAGAGUUCAACUCCACUAUCAAAUCUUAUUUGGGUGAAGAUUAUAAUUUCUUAUAAUUCUAGAGCAAAACCCUUGCUCUUUACCAUUCUCUUUUUUCUCACAAGAGCAAUCCUCUACUCAAAAUCACACCCACUAUAAUUAAUUCACUCAACAACCUUCACUCAAUUUCCAAACACAAACCAAUUACAACUCAAAGUAAACUUUCAAGAAAUUAAUGUUAUGAUUCAAGGUUUAGAGAGAGAAAAAGUGUGAAAACCUUGAAUCUCAAUUAAUGUGUGCUUAGAUAGUUGUUAUAAUUUUUUUCAGAUAAAAAACACAUUAUAUUUAUAGUUAUAACAUAAAUAUAGUCAUUGGAGAUGCAUUAAAUGCAAAUAUAGCCAUUUGUGUAUAGAAAUAGAUGUUAUUUUGUGCUAAAAAAAAUUCAAGUUCGACGGCCGAACCUUUGGAAGUGAAAGCACAACUUCUUGAAAACAGUUUUUCGGCGGCUAAAAUCCCAAUGUUUGACGACCGAAUAUUUGAGAGUUUUUCCUCUUUUUCUCUACUUUUGGAAGUCUAACAUUGAUUUUAGAGAUACAAAAAUAUUUUAUUAUUUGAAAAUUUAUAAUUUAGACUAUAAAAUUCUGAUUUUUCAAUCCGUUUGAAUAUUUGUAACCUAUAUUUUAAGAUCUUUUAGUUUGAUAAAAAAUAAUUUCAAAGCACUCUAUUUGAAAAUUUUCAUUUUGCUCCCUCAAAGAGUUAUUGAGCAAAAACUUAAGUUACAAACUUUCAAUUUUUAUGAUAUUUAAAUUUUUGUAACUUAUCAUUUGAAAUCUCUUAUUUGAUAGAAAAAUAUCUUCACAAAGGCUUCAUACGUCAAAUUUCAUUUUGGUCUUCAAAAAUAAUUACUCAAAAAUUGACCAUGUUUAUAAGUUUUAGAAUUAAAAAAAAAAAAAGAAUUUGAGCCAACACACAUAAUUAAUUGAAAUUCACAAUGUAUAAACUAAAAAUUAUAUUUUUGUCCCUUUCUUGUAGUAUGCUUCUAAUAUGCUUCUAAUCUUGACACUUUUCAUUCUUGAAAAUAAAGCAAUUCCAUUUAUUUAAAUUAUGGACCUACAAGUUCACACAAAUACUUCUAAAGAUAAUUAGUAGCACACCAAUUGUUUAUUAGUCAUCAAAAUAAGGAUUAGAACACUUAGAUCCAACAGUUCUUAAUGGUAGUAUUAAAUUGAGUUUCUACCAUAUUGAUGAAAUGCUUGAUCAGAUUGAAAGUUUGACCUUUAAGGUGCAUUAUAAAUGUCCAUACUGCUAUGGUAUUAUCCACAAUGGUAAGAAAAUAUCUAAUACUAGUGAUAGAGGUAGUUUUGUAAGGUCCCCAUAUGUUUAUAUUGAUUAGGUCAAAAGGCUACGAAGCAAUAGUGUGACUUUUGGGAAAGGGCAAUCUGGACUGUUUGGCCAAGGGAUAAACAGGGCAACAUAUUAUAGUAUUAUCACUAAUGGUAAUACCCUUAAUAUGUUUGAGUUUGUCAAUAGAUGCAUUACCUAAUCUAUCAUGAAAGUCAAUAAUAGACAUAGAACAUCCAGAUAUUUAUCCAGAGGAUAUGAAACUUCCUUUAUUAGAAUCAGUCACAAGAAGCAUGGUAUUUACAAGAGUAUGUAAAAUAAAAGUAGUAUUCAUGAUCUGAUACAAACAGUAACUAAUCUCAGUAUGAGGAAAACUCGUUUGAUUGAGCUUGAACAAGCCUCCGUAUUUCUUUCCUACCACCAUCACCCUUUUAUUCAGAGGGUUCUGUAUAAUGCAGUAUUGCUAGCAAUUCACAACACAAUAAGCACAACUAUUCACUAAUUGCCUAACAGAUAUGAGGUUGUAAUGAAAUUGUGGAACAUACAAUACAUUAUCAAGCAUGAUAUGUCAAAUAGAUUAAGGUUGCCAGAAUGUGAUAUUUGUGUUGUAGUCCCAUCAGGAAAGAAAACAGAGACAUGUUUGUAUAAAAUUUGUAAAUAAAGAAACAAGGUUUUGUCUAAACACAUAUGAUUAGUGGCUCUAGUGUCUAAACUCUAGCUAGUGUCAUUAUAUAGUUUUGCAUAAGAAGUUUUAAUAAGAUUAGACUNNNNNNNNNNNNNNNNNNNNNNNNNNNNNNNNNNNNNNNNNNNNNNNNNNNNNNNNNNNNNNNNNNNNNNNNNNNNNNNNNNNNNNNNNNNNNNNNNNNNNNNNNNNNNNNNNNNNNNNNNNNNNNNNNNNNNNNNNNNNNNNNNNNNNNNNNNNNNNNNNNNNNNNNNNNNNNNNNNNNNNNNNNNNNNNNNNNNNNNNNNNNNNNNNNNNNNNNNNNNNNNNNNNNNNNNNNNNNNNNNNNNNNNNNNNNNNNNNNNNNNNNNNNNNNNNNNNNNNNNNNNNNNNNNNNNNNNNNNNNNNNNNNNNNNNNNNNNNNNNNNNNNNNNNNNNNNNNNNNNNNNNNNNNNNNNNNNNNNNNNNNNNNNNNNNNNNNNNNNNNNNNNNNNNNNNNNNNNNNNNNNNNNNNNNNNNNNNNNNNNNNNNNNNNNNNNNNNNNNNNNNNNNNNNNNNNNNNNNNNNNNNNNNNNNNNNNNNNNNNNNNNNNNNNNNNNNNNNNNNNNNNNNNNNNNNNNNNNNNNNNNNNNNNNNNNNNNNNNNNNNNNNNNNNNNNNNNNNNNNNNNNNNNNNNNNNNNNNNNNNNNNNNNNNNNNNNNNNNNNNNNNNNNNNNNNNNNNNNNNNNNNNNNNNNNNNNNNNNNNNNNNNNNNNNNNNNNNNNNNNNNNNNNNNNNNNNNNNNNNNNNNNNNNNNNNNNNNNNNNNNNNNNNNNNNNNNNNNNNNNNNNNNNNNNNNNNNNNNNNNNNNNNNNNNNNNNNNNNNNNNNNNNNNNNNNNNNNNNNNNNNNNNNNNNNNNNNNNNNNNNNNNNNNNNNNNNNNNNNNNNNNNNNNNNNNNNNNNNNNNNNNNNNNNNNNNNNNNNNNNNNNNNNNNNNNNNNNNNNNNNNNNNNNNNNNNNNNNNNNNNNNNNNNNNNNNNNNNNNNNNNNNNNNNNNNNNNNNNNNNNNNNNNNNNNNNNNNNNNNNNNNNNNNNNNNNNNNNNNNNNNNNNNNNNNNNNNNNNNNNNNNNNNNNNNNNNNNNNNNNNNNNNNNNNNNNNNNNNNNNNNNNNNNNNNNNNNNNNNNNNNNNNNNNNNNNNNNNNNNNNNNNNNNNNNNNNNNNNNNNNNNNNNNNNNNNNNNNNNNNNNNNNNNNNNNNNNNNNNNNNNNNNNNNNNNNNNNNNNNNNNNNNNNNNNNNNNNNNNNNNNNNNNNNNNNNNNNNNNNNNNNNNNNNNNNNNNNNNNNNNNNNNNNNNNNNNNNNNNNNNNNNNNNNNNNNNNNNNNNNNNNNNNNNNNNNNNNNNNNNNNNNNNNNNNNNNNNNNNNNNNNNNNNNNNNNNNNNNNNNNNNNNNNNNNNNNNNNNNNNNNNNNNNNNNNNNNNNNNNNNNNNNNNNNNNNNNNNNNNNNNNNNNNNNNNNNNNNNNNNNNNNNNNNNNNNNNNNNNNNNNNNNNNNNNNNNNNNNNNNNNNNNNNNNNNNNNNNNNNNNNNNNNNNNNNNNNNNNNNNNNNNNNNNNNNNNNNNNNNNNNNNNNNNNNNNNNNNNNNNNNNNNNNNNNNNNNNNNNNNNNNNNNNNNNNNNNNNNNNNUAUGUGUUUCUUUCUUUCCCUUUAUAUAGCUAAGCAGGGUUAGGAAAGUUAAGAAGGUUAAAUGAUGUGUAUAAACACUUAUGUUUCUUGGAAAUUCUUUGGGUGAUGAAACCUAUGAAUCUAAACUUGUCUUUUUGGAUAGUUGUUUAUCACAUAGUUGCAAGAAUAAAUAUUUUUAAAAGUUGAAGUUGGAAUUGGGAAAAUGAAAAUGCCUAGCUAAUAAGGUCAUGGAUUUUUGCUGGCCAAACAUAAUAACUAUAUAUAUUUCUUGUUUAAUUUCUAAAAAUAUUCAUUGUUCACCUAUGUUGAUGGACUCUUGUCAUAUGUUAACGGCAUAUUUGAUAAUUUCUUUUCAUGGGUAGUAAAAUUAUUUAAUUUUCAAGUCAAUUGCUCCAAUUUUUUUUUAUUACUUUCCAAUUUGUUUUAUAUAUCUGGGAAUUAAAUUUCAUUUAAUUGAUUAAACUAUCCAAAUGUUGAUACAACGAAAGUCGAAUGGUAUCACAAUUUUUUUUUAAAUUAACAUUUAAGAUUAAGUCUCCAUUGGAAUAUAUUUUUCAUUUAAUUUAACGUUUAGAUACUCCAAAAAAUUAUUUAAUGGUAAAUAUUUUUCUGAUUAAAAAAUUAAGACAUUUGAAAAAAAUUGAUUUACUCUUCUCACGAGAGAAAAUCAUUUUCUGAAUUUUGAAAAUAUUAUUAACACUUUUACUUAUAAAUUUGUUAAUAUAUUUUAUUUUUAAAUUUAAAUUAAACAAUGAAAAAUAAGUUAUAUUUUGAAAAAUAUUAUUUAUGAAAAAUAUUUUAUAAAAAAAUAUUUUUCACAUUUUUUAAUGUUUGGAACACUUAAAAAAAUAGUUAACAUAAAAUAUUUUUCUAAUUAAAGAAAAAAUUAAGUUAUUUUAAAGAAAAUAUUUUUUAUUUUUUUUUAAAAAGUAAUUUUUUAUAUUUAAAAAUCUUAUUAAUAUCUUUAUUUAUAAAUUUAUUAAUAUAUUUUAUUUUUAAAUUAAAAUUAAAUAAUAAAAAAUAAAUUAUUUUGUUAGAAAAUAUUCUCGACCAAAGUAAAUGAUCAAAGAGAGAAAAUAAACAUUUUCUUGUUUUAUUAAGAAGAAAAAAGCAACGUUGCAAUGUUUGAAGGCAAAACUAGUGCGGAUAUAUGCAUUAACAAGUCACGUACCUCUUAUCGUCACGAGUUUAUAAUUAUAUUUUAAUUUUUAAAAUUAUUAUAUAUUACACAACUAUUUUAUAGCAGUACACUCAUAUUAUUAUAUAACAGUAAACUCAACACCCCUUCCUCAAGUUGAAGCAGUUAAAGAGAGUAGAUUCAACUUGUUAGACAAAGAACUAUGACGAAAAGUGGGCAAAGGUUUGGUAAAGAGAUUUGCCAAUUACUCUUGUGUGGGAAGAUGGCUAAGAAAAAUGAAUCCUUGUAGGAACUGAUCUCGCACGAUAUGGUAAUGGAUCUCGAUAUACUUGGUACACUCAUAGAACAUUGGGUUAGCAAGAAUGUGAAGUACUGCCUUGUUGUCGCAACAAAGACGGAUAGACAGAGCAACUGAAACCUGCAAGUCUUCAAGAAUAAAUCUAAUUCAAAGAAGCUCACAACUCACAAACAGUGUUAGCCAUGGCCCGAUACUCUAUCUCAGCAGAUGAUUUAGAAAUUGUAGUCUGUUUCAUUGUUUUCUAAGGUAUAAGGCAAGGCCCCAAAAAGAUGUAGUAACCAGAUAAGGACUUCCGAGAAUUUAAGCAAAAUGCCUAAUUUGAAUCACAAUAAGCAAUGAGAGAUAAAUUAGUAAUACGAAAAUAUAAUCCCUAAUGCAAAGAGCCUUUAAGAUAUCUAAGUAGAUGUAAAGCAGCCUCCCACUGAGGCUUUCUAGGCAUGCUCAUAAAUUGGCUGAGAUACUGUACUGCAAAAUAUAUAUCGGGCUAGUUAAAUUUAUGUGAAGAAGCCUUCCAAGUAGCCUCCUAUUUAUAUCAGGUUCGCUCAGAAGCUCUCUUGAAUCAGGAGUCAGAUGUAAACCCUACGGUAAAGGAGAUGAUGUUGGUUUAUAAGGGAACAUGCCUGCAUCUUUAAGAAAUCUGAAAUGAACUUUGUUUGACUUAGAAUAGUGCCCUGUGAGGAUCUGGCAACCUUAAGGCCUAAGAAAAAUUUCAAAGGUCCCAAAUCUUUGAUAGUGAAUUUAGAAUACAAUGCAUAUUUGCAUUCAUUAAUUGCAUCAAUAGAGUUCCCACUAGGAUUACCUCAUCAACAUAUACCAAUAGAGCUAGAAACAAAGUAACAGUGUGUUGAAUAAAAAGGCAAUAAUCAUGAGAGGAUUGUGUAAAGCCCAAAGUUUUAAGGAAGGUAGUAAACUCAAUAUUCCACUGGCUAGAUGUUUGUUUGAGCCCAUAUAGGGACCUUUGAAGUAAACAAACUUCCCCAAGCUGGGCCUUAUGAUAACCCUGAAGAGGUAUAAAAUAUACCUCUUCAUUUAAAUGUCUAUGUAAGAAGGCGUAAAAAGGCAUUAUUUAUGUCUAACUGAAAGAUGGGUCAUUAUUUAGAAGUGGCUAAAGCAAUGAAGAUUCUCACUGUCAUAAGCUUAGCCACAGGAAAAAAUAUAUCUUUAUAGUCCAAACCCUCUAUUUGAUUGAAACCUUUUGCAACUAAAUAUGCUUUGUAUCUCUACCUCACUAGUGGGUUUAAAUUUCACAUACCCACUUGCAGCCUAUAACCUUUUCGUUCUUGGGUAAAUCAGUAAGGGUCCAGUUAUUGUUAUUUUCCAAGACUUUUAUCUCUUAUUCCAUGGCCUUAACCCAUUGAACAUCCUUGGAUGCUUGUGCAUAUGUGCAAGGCUCAUGAACUUUGUUCACAUUGCAAAUGUAAGAGCUGUAGGAUGGACAAAAGGAAAGGGAGGAUGUGGGGAAAAGAUUAGUGUAGUCUUGCAUCCAAGUUGAAGGCUGUCUAUUUUUUUAGAUCUUCUAGGAAAAGAAGGCUCAUUGAGACUGGGUACAGUAGCAUAAGUUUGUGUAAUACAGAAUCAGUAAAUUCUAUAUCAGUAACAGGAAUAGAAAGGGCAAUAUGCUCAACAUCCUUCUUGCUUAAUUCUCCUUUCUCCUUUCUAAAACUCUUCUUUGGGAUGAACCUUUUAUUUUAAAAGAGCAACUUUCUUAUCCUCCUGGUCACCAAGGUUAAUUCUUUAUCAUUUAGCUCUUCUUCUUCCUCACUAGUGUCUUCGAAUAACACCCUUAGAGCAAUAUUCUUUUCUAGUUUGCUAGAUUUCUCCACUUACUCUCUCUCUAGAAUCAUCUCAUAAUCAAUGAGAUUCCCCAAAAGUUCAUCAAAUUGUAUCUUAUCAAGUCCUUAGCAUCCUUUAAGGAGGUCACCUUUGAUAGCCAUUUUUUAGGCAGAUAUCUAAGAAUUUUCUUUACUAAUUUCUCAUUUGUGAAUGUCUUCCCAAGAGAUUUCAUUCUUCCAAUGAUCUCAAUGAACCUAUUACACAUUUAGCUAAUAGUUUCAUCGAAUUUCAUUUUGAACAACUCAUAUUGGUAGAUAAGGGAUUCCAUCUUGUUUUCUUUGACUUGAUUAGUACCUUCAUGAGUGUCAACCAAAGUAUCCCAAAUCUCCUUGGCUAUAGACUUCAUACACUUUUUUGUACUCACUUCUACUAAGAGCACAAAACAAAAUGUGAAUGACUUUGUCAUUAAGGGCUACCCUUCUCUUCUCUAAUUCACUCCAUUCACUCUUAGGUUUUUGCUCUUACUUUCUCUCAACCACUUUUGUUGGAAAGAAAGAACCAUUUUCUAUAAUAUCCUGUAAAUCAACUCCUUUCGAUUUGAGAAAAUAGUAAAUUCUAUUUUUCCAAUAUAAAAAGUCAUUCCCAUCAAAGAAGGAUGGUCUCACAACCGAUUGACUUUCUUGAGCAUUGAGUGUUGCCGUUUGAUCUUUACUCCAAGAUGAUUACAUUUUCAAGAAAAGAAGACUAGCUAUGAUACUAUUUGUUGUCCCUUUAAGCAACCUAAGAGCGGUGAAUUGGGUUUAUAAAAAAUUGAAGACUAAAAACACAAAUAAAAAAAGAAUAAGGAAGGAAGAGUGAUAAUAAACACAAGGAUUUAUAGAGGUUCAGUCAUCCCAAACCUAUGUCCUCUCCUCAAGGCUCUCCUUCAGAAUUCAACUCCACCAUAAAAUCUUCUUUGGGUGAAGAUUAAAACUCCUUACAAUUCUAGAGCAAAAUCCUUGCUCUUUACUAUUCUCUUUUUUUCACAAGAGUAAUCAUUUGCUCAAAAUCACACCCACUACAAUUAAUUCACUCAACUACCUUCACUCAAUCUCAAAAUACAAACUAAUUACAAUUCAAAGUAAACUUUCAAGAAAUUAAUGCUGAUAUGGCUCAAGUUUUAGAGAGAGAAAGAGUGUGAAAAACUUGAAUAUCAAUUAAUGUGUGCUUAAAUGGUUGAUAUAAUUUUUUUCAGAUAAAAAACACAUUAUAUUUAUAGUUAUAAUAUAAAUAUAGCCGUUGGAGAUGCAUUAAAUACAAAUAUAGCUAUUUGUGUACUAAAAUAAAUGUUAUUUCGUGUUAAAAAAAAUCCAAGUUCAGUGGCCGAACCUUUGGAAGUGAAAACAUAACUUCUUGAAAACAGAUUUUCGGUAGCUAAAGUCUCAAUGCUCAACGGCUAAAUAUUUGAGAGUUUUGCCUCUGUUUCUCUACUUUUGGAAGCCUAACAUUGACUUUAGAGGUACAUAAAUAUUAAAUUUUUAAAAAUUCACAAUUUAGACUAUAAAAUUCUGAUUUUCAAUCCGUUUGAAUAUUUGUAACCUAUAUUUUAAGAUCUUUUAGUUUGAUAAAAAAUAAUUUGAAAGCACUCCAUUUAAAAAAUUUCAUUUUGUCUCUCAAAGAGUUAUAGAGCAAAAACUUAAAUUAUAAACUUUCAAUUUUUAUUCUAUUUGAAUUUUUGUAACUUAUAAUUUGAAAUCUCUUAUUUGAUAGAAAAAUAUCUCCACAAAGGCUCCAUACGUCAAAUUUCAUUUUGGUCUUCAAAAAUAAUUACUUAAAUAUUGGCCAUAUUUAUAAGUUUUAGAAUUAAAAAAAAAAUUGAGUCAACACACUUAAUUAAUUAAAAUUCACAAUGCAUAAACUAAAAAUUACAUUUUUGUCCCUUUGUUGUAGUAUGCUUCCAAUUUUGACACUCUUUAUUCUUGAAAAUAAACCAAUUCUAUUCAUUUAAAUUAAGGACCUAUAAGUUCACAUAAAUACUUCUAAAGAUAAUUAGUAGCACACUAAUUAUUUAUUAGUCAUCAAAAUAAGGAUUAGAACACUUAGAUUCAACAGUUCUUAAUGAUAAUAUUAAAUUGAGUUUCUACCAUAUUGAUGAAAUACUUGAUCAAAUUGAAAGUUUGACCUUUAAGGUGCAUCAUGAAUGUCCAUACUGCUCUGGAAUUAUCCACAAUGGUAAGAAACUAUCUAGCACUAAUGAUAGAGGUAGUUUUAUAAGGUCUCCAUAUGUCUAUAUUGAUUAGGUCAAAAGGCUAUGAAGCAAUAGUGUGACUUUUGAGAAAGGGCAAUUUGGACUGUUUCGCCAAGGGACAAACAGGGCAACAUAUUAUAGUAUUAUCACUAAUGGUAACAUCCUUAAUGUGUUUGAGUUUUCCAAUAAAUGCAUUACCUAAUCUAUCAUGAAAGUCGAUAAUAGACAUAGAAUAUCCAGAUAUUUGUCCAAAGGAUAAAACUUCCUUUAUUAAAAUCAAUCACAGAAAGCGUAGUAUUUACAAGAGUAUUUAAAGCAGAAGUAGUAUUUAUGAUCUGAUGCAAACAGUAACUAAUCUCAGUAUGAGAAAAACUCAUUUGAUUGAGCUUGAACAACACAAUAAGCACAAUUAUUCACUAAUUGCCUAACAUAUAUGAGGUUGUAAUGAAAUUGUGGAGCAUACAACACAUUAUCAAGUAUGAUUAUAUCAAACAGAUUAAGAUUGCCAGAAUGUGAUAUUUGUGUUGUAGUCCCAUCAGGAAAGAAAACAGAGACAUGUUUGUAUAAAAUUUGUAAAUAAAGAAACAAGGUUUUGUCUAAACACAUAUGAUUAGUGGCUCUAGUGUCUAAACUCUAGCUAGUGUCAUUAUAUAGUUUUGCAUAAGAAGUUUUAAUAAGAUUAGACUUACCAGCAAAAUCCAUGAAAUGAGAAUUUAGUCCAAUUGAAGUGCUUGGAGUGAAAACAUUUUUCUAGCAAUUACAAGCAAAAUAAUUUAGUUCUUAAAUUUUUAUUUCAUCAAUAAAAUAAUUUUUCUAUUAAAUUUACCAUUAGUCAACUAUUAAUUAAAGAAGUCAACUCAAAUUAAAAUGACUAAAUUGUUAUAAAUAGUAAAUUAUAAAGAUUAAACUGUAUAAAUUAUUAAAAUUAAAAGGAUUAAAUUGUUAUAUUUUAAUAAUAAAUUUAACAAAAAAUUAUUUUGUUAACAAAAUGAAAUCUUAAGGACUAAAUUAUAGAUUUUAUUAAACUUUAGAAACUAUUCUAUAAAUUACCUUUUUAUAUAAAAAAAUUGGCAAAAACAAAAACCUGCACUUGAAUUAUAUAAUAUGACUAAAAAAAUACCAUAUUUUAAUAAAUAUAUUUUAUCCAAAUAUAUCUAUAAUUAUUAUUAAAGUAUAAAUAAAUCAAAUUAAAGACAAAUAGACAAAGCAAAUUGCAGUUCUCACUCUAAAAUUUUAAUAAAUGGUAAUUUUAUUUAAUUUUUAAUAAUAAAUAGAUAUAAAUUUAAAUAGAAUGAUGAAAUUUAAUAUUUUUAAUAACAUAGGUAUAAUUUAUGGACAAAUUUAAUUUUUUUGCAAAAUAACUUAGAUUUUUUUGCUUAUCCACGUAUAAAAGGGUAAUAUGGCUUUUUGUUUUCUUUUACCUUGUUGGCAAUAAUGAUUAUUUUUUAGUAUACAUAAUCGUAAAUUCCCUUGAAAUUUUUUUUGUUGUCAAGAUUAGAUCUAAUAAAUUGAAUCCACAAAGUUAUAACUUUAUAAGUUUGAAUUAGAGACAUACGCCUGAAAUAAGGUAUAUAUAUAUAUAUAAAUGUAAAAUAAAUUUAAAAAUCUACAAGGUCAUUGGUUGAUCCACACAUGAAAAUAUAAACAUAAUCUAAGAAAGAAAAAUAUCCAAUAUGCUUUUACAUAUUAAUCAUAUAUGCUCAAGCAAAGACAAUUAAUAAAACAAAAUAAUUUUAUUACAAUAAUGCAAUACAACAAAUAUUAAAAUCAACUCAAAUUUAUUUAAGUAACAAAAGAAAAGACAAUUUUUUUUUAAAGAAAUGAGGUUAGAGCUCAUGAUCAUGGAUCAUUAUUACAAAAUACUACAAAGAAAGACACAAAACACAUUGAUCAUUAUUCCAAAAUACUACAAAGAAAGACACAAAACACAGAAGAGAAACUAAAUGCAAAGGAUCAAGGCAACAAUUUAAGGAGAAAGAAAGAAACAACAAGACCCACAAGUCCCAUGAACUUGGAUGGGAAAGAAGUGAGAGAACUUGCAUUAGUGGCCGGAGAAGGAGUAGGAGUAGUAGGAGUAGAAGGAGGCGGAGGAGGCGGAGGAAGAGUGGUGGGUGGAGAAGGAAGAGGAGUAGGUGAAGGUGCUGGUUGAAGCCCAGGAGUUCCCACUUGCGCUUGAACAGCUACAGCCAACAGAAGAGAGCAGGCAAAACUGAUGGCGAUAAUGGUCAAAAGAGUCUUGUGAAGAGCCAUUUUCUUGAUUAUCUCUUAUAAACACUCUUUAUGCUUUUCUAAUUUUUUAUGCUUCACAGUGAUUUCUUAUGUGUUUCUUUCUUUCCCUUUAUAUAGCUAAGCAGGGUUAGGAAAGUUAAGAAGGUUAAAUGAUGUGUAUAAACACUUAUGUUUCUUGGAAAUUCUUU